rnacentral:sRNA from 1 species
GCCGGGCAUGGUGGUGCGUGCCUGUAAUCCCAGAGGCUCAGGAAGCUGAGGCAGGAGGAUUGCAAGUUCAAAGCCAGCCUCAGCAACUUAGCAAGACCCUGUCUCAA